CUGCUGCCUCCCGUAGGAGUUUGGGCCGUGUCUCAGUCCCAAUGUGGCCGUUCACCCUCUCAGGCCGGCUACUGAUCGUCGCCUUGGUGGGCCGUUACCCCUCCAACCAGCUAAUCAGACGCGGGUCCAUCCUGUACCACCGGAGUUUUUCACACUGUACCGUGCGGUACUGUGCGCUUAUGCGGUUUUAGCACCUAUUUCUAAGUGUUAUCCCCCUGUACAGGGCAGGUUACCCACGCGUUACUCACCCGUCCGCCACUAAGAUAAACAGG
rnacentral:rRNA from 1 species